CGGUUCAUGAACUUGAUUAUAGGAUUUGGUUCAUAAUUUGGGUUUUAUUUAUGAUUGGAUUUGGAUUUAGGGUUAUUUGUAGACUGGAUUAAGUUUGGGUUUUUAUUUGUGGACCUGAUUUGGGUCCAGGUUUGGAUUUUAUUUGUGGACUUGAUCAAAUUUGGGUUUUGGAUUUGGUUUUAUUUGUGGACUUCAUUUGGGUUCAGGUUUGGAUUUUAUUUGUUGACUUGAUCGGAUUUGGAUUUUUUGGGUUUAGGUUUUGAUUUUGGAUUUUUAUUUGUGAACUUGGGUUGUAUUUGGGUUUUAUGGGUUUUGAUUUUUUAUUUGUGGAUUAGAUUUGGUUUUGGAUUUUUAUUUGUGGACUGAUUUUUGUUUUGGGUUUGGAUUUAGGUUGGAUUUGGGUUUGGAUUUGGGUUUUGGUUUUUGAAUUUUGGUUUGGGGUUUGUUAGGUUUCGGGUUUUGGGUUUCAGUGUUUGGAUUUAGGUUUGAAUUUGGGUUUUGGUUUUGGAUUUUGGUUUUCAUAUUUUGAUUUUUUAUUUCUAGACUUUGUUUGGAUUUGGGUUCAAAAGGAUUGCAAUUCAAUUUAGGGUCUGAAAAAAAUUCCCUUUUGAUUUUACAAUUCGAUUUGGGGUCCGAAGAAAUCUCAUUUUGAUUUUGUAAUUUGAUUUGGGGUCCGAAGAAAUCCCCUUUUAAUUUUGCAAUUUGAUUUGGGGUCCAAAGAAAUCCCCUUUUGAUUCUAAUUUGAUUUGGGGUCCGAAGAAAUCUCCUUUUGAUUCUGCAAUUCAAUUUGGGCUCUGAGAAAAUUUCUUUUUGAUUUUGCAAUUUGAUUUGGGGUCUGAAGAAAUCCCCUUUUGAUUCUAAUUUAAUUUGGGGUCCGAAAAAAUUUCCUUUUUGAUUCUGAUUUGAUUUGGGGUCCGAAGAUAUCCCCGUUUGAUUUCGAUUUGGAGUCCGAAGAAAUCCCCUUUUGAUUCUGCAAUUCGAUUUAAGGUCCGAGAAAAUCCUCUUUUGAUUUUGUAAUUUGAUUUAAGGUCCGAAGAAAUCCCCUUUUGAUUUUGCAAUUCGAUUUUGAUUUGGGGUCCGAAGAAAGCCCCUUUUGAUUUUGCAAUUCGAUUUGGGGUCCGAAGAAAUCCCCUUUUGAUUUUACAAUUUGAUUUGGGGUUCGAAAAAAUUUCCUUUUGAUUCUGCAAUUCGAUUUGGGAUCCGAGGAAAUUCCUUUUUGAUUUUGUAAUUUGAUUUGGGGUUCGAAAAAAUUUCCUUUUGAUUUUGCAAUUCGAUUUGGAGUCCGAAGAAAUUUCCGUUUGAUCUCGAUUUGGAUUGAAUCUGAACUGGUUUGAGAGUUUUGUGGAUUGAUUCAAUGUUCUCGAAAGGGAUUGAAGGGUCCGAAGAAACGGAAAAUUCUUGAUUUCCCUCCCCUCUUCUUUCGAAAACACUGUACCGAUAAGGUUGGAGAUGACCAUGGCGAAGACGAUGAUGAUGGCCAGUGGAUUUGGUUCGACAUUUUCAAAAAAUGUUGAAGGGUCCGAAGAAACGGGGAAUCGACGAUUCCUAUCCCCUCUUCUUUCGAAAAUAUCAAACCGGCGAUGCUGGAGAUGACGUCGUUGAAGAUGAUGACAGUGGCGCGGAUCUGUUCGGCCGUCGGAUUUGAUUUGACAUCUUUGAAAGAUGCUGAAGGGUCCGAAGAAACGGGGAAUUGAAUAUUCCCCUCCCCUCUUCUUUCGAAAAUAUCAAACCGGCGAUGUCACGCCCCGCAACUGCCAGUUUGGUUGGUUUGGGCACGUCGAACAGACGCCGAACGGACAGCACCUCAUCUGUCCACCUAAGGCUAACAAACAGAGUCAUGUACAUCAAGUUGCCCAGGUAACUUAAACAAUAUACAUGAAGCACACAAGUGCAAUAUAAGCAAGAGCAAGAAUCACAAGUAGAUAUACAAGUAAACAAUAGAGAAAUUGUCACGCCCAGGUACCAGCGGAAGCAUAUCCGGUACGUGAACAGACCCGCCAUACACCUGCAGUAUAUAAGGCGUCUACAAACAAGCAAGUCGAUAGGAAGAAGAUCAUAGAAAAUUCUAUCCUGAUAUCAGAGCAAAGUACAAGUCACAAAGACUAUCAACAAGAGGGCAAAGAGAACAUAAACCAAAAUCUCAACUAAAAGAGAAAGUAACAUGACUAUAGUGACUGUCCAAAAAGUACAUAUACAUCACGGGGUAUACAAAAAUAGGUACAAUGGUAGUCUCUCUAUACAAAGGGACAUCACCCUCGGCCGUAGCCCGAGUAGCAAGGUGAUCGACUAGCACGCUCCUAGUAGUCCCUAGCUAGGCGCGACUCCCUUGCCACGAUCCCUAGCCUCUCCUAUAGAUGGCUCUGUAAAAACAACCACCAAAAGGGCGUGAGAACUAUUAACAAUAGUUCCCAGUGGGUAAGCCGCCAGCCUCGGCGAAUUACACCACUAGGCUCAUGAUGUACUAAUUGAAAGCAAAAACGAUAAUUGCAUGAUUUAUAAGCAUGAUGCUAACAAGUAAUAAGCAUGUAAUCAACAUGUAAUAGCAUUCUACAGUAAUGAAUCAUUUGCAUAAUAGGGAUAUGGCAAUUUCUAUAAUCAUGAACAUAAGCAUGAAUAUAAGCACGAACAUGAAAGUGACUACUGUACACUUUAAUUAAUAAGCAUUCAUUACUGUCCUUUUUCAUUGAGUACUAUCCUUUCAUUCACAGGGACCUACUCAAGGUAGUCCAGCUUGCGCCGCGCCUAAUGGCCCCGUGGUAGUAUACACUCCCCACGGCAAUCCACUUCGGCACCCAAUCCCGCACGGGCGAGCAACUGUCGCGUAGGCCAACUCCGGAGUGCCGGCUUGUAGGGAGCUACCCUCACAAGCGUGUGCGAAUGAGCACGAUGGCAAGCAAGCAAAGUCCAUUGUCCACAUGUCACAAUUUUCAUAUUAUCAAUACAAAGUUCAUAACCCUCGAUCCUCUGAUCGGAAUAUCAAUACACAAAUAGUAACAAAAGCUAGUAUCCACUAGAUUGUAAACAUGUAAGGGUAAAGCUAAAUCACAUAGCAUUACAAUCUUUCCACUAGUAUGACACUAUCAACGUAGUCAUGAGCAUGUCAUAGUUCUCUAUGUUAGAGUCAAGAGAAUGUCAUUGUUCUCUACUUUAAAGUGCAUCCUACACUUGUUCAUAAGUCAUUCAACUGAAUUGAAUAUAAAUAGAAAGACUUUCAUGGAUAAGUAUUCUCUACUUUAUAGAGACUUCAUUUCGAAUAUGUUCAACAUUAUAAUGACGAAUGUCAAGCCCCUUUAUUAAUCACAUAAGCGCACAAUAAGACCAUUUCUAUAAUACAUAUAGAACAUAGAGGAGUUUCACUUGCUCUGGUUAGGUCCGACCCACCUAGUAUUAGGCUCCAAAUCAGUCCAAGAAGUCUCAAGGAUCAGCUCCACUAGGUCUCAAUCCUGCUGAACACGAAGCACAAAGAUCGGAUCAAAUCACGAUUGAAAUGUCCAAUUUCGGCGCAAUUGCACUUAAUACAUAGGAAUAGCUUAAAUCCCUGUUUGGCUUAGUUCAAUACCUCACGUUAAGCUUCCAGAAGGCCCUCCAAGGCCAAACGAAGGCGGUCCAAGGGUCAAACACCCUCUCGCUGCGAACAAUUCCGAAACGACAUCAAACUCAUCAAUAAUAGCAAUUAUGGUCGGAAUCUUGCAAUUUCGGCUUCCUAACUGAAAUUCUUACUUACCUUAGGGUAGAACACCUUCUAAACCAGCCUCCUAGGUCAUCAAAUAAGCUCCACGUGGUUCAAAAACCUGCUGCGAAGACACAAUGCCCAAAUUGCAUCAAUUCGAUAGAAUAACCCGCGUAUAGUCCGAAAUAGCUUCCGAAAUGGCUAAUUCUUCCAAUUAAGCUUCAAAGUAGCUUAUCCCUGGUCUACUGAGAUUAAUUCACAGUUAAAUAACUCAUCUUUAAGUGCUAAAACCUCAGUUUAAAACAGCUAGAAGCAACAACUCCAAAACUAUACAUAAUUCGUCCAAGAAAUUGCCGAAAAUGGAAAACGUGAGCCGAUUACCUCGCCAAGCCUCCAACCAGUAGCUCGCUGGUCCAGAGCUGCGAAAAGACUUCCAAAGUACUCUCUCACACGUUCACAAGGGCUCCGUAACACUCGCAACAAGCGACGAACAAGCGAGGCGACGAAAACGAGCAAAAUCGUCGAUUUCUAUAUAGAGAGAGAAAAACCCUAGAGAGAGAGAGAGAGGAAGGUGGAAGAACAAUCCCCUGAGCUCCAGCAACCUUCACUAAGCCCCCAGAGUCGUGCUGGGUUCAAAUAGAUAGGUGUCAAAAGUGAAAUGACCAAAAUACCCAAGCUGCCACGAAUCUGCCAGCUUGUACCGGUACAAGGUGAUGUCUGUACCGAUACAGCAAGCAGAAAAGGCUGAUUUUCGCCAGUUUGAUGCAAUUUCUCACUUUUAACAUUCCAAGCAUCCUCUAACUUAUCCAAACACUUGUUCUAACCUUUUAGAACAUGUAGGAGUGAUCCACACACCAUUCCACAUACUCGAACUCCGCAAUUUGCAAAAGUUCAGUAUAUUACAGAAAUAUCUCGGUAUUACAUUUUCAUACAACAUCCACAUAAUACAUUCACAUCUCCAAAAUGUGUAUACAAGUUCAACAUCUACAAACACGAGUAGCUCUCCAAUAUAUACAUAUCAACAUCCCUAUAUACAUGGAAUACUCUAAUGCAAAAAGGAAGCCACUAGCUACUAGGGCACUAUGCCCUUACCGCGGUCCUCGCCCGGUCCGCUCGAACUCGGCCCUGCAACAAAGUGGGGUGAGAACUUGUAAGAACUGAGAUUUUGGCAGUGUAGCUAAACUCUCUGUUGACGAUGUUUUUAUGUGUAAUUUAAUUACAAAAGCACUCGUCAAGUUUCGGGAGAAAUCGAGUUAAAAUGGAGAUUUU
rnacentral:lncRNA from 1 species